rnacentral:rRNA from 1 species
GAUGGGAAACAGGUUAAUAUUCCUGUACUUCUGGUUACUGCGAUGGAGGGACGGAGAAGGCUAGGCCAGCUUGGCGUUGGUUGUCCAAGUUUAAGGUGGUAGGCUGAAAUCUUAGGUAAAUCCGGGGUUUCAAGGCCGAGAGCUGAUGACGAGUCGUCUUUUAGAUGACGAAGUGGUUGAUGCCAUGCUUCCAAGAAAAGCUUCUAAGCUUCAGGUAACCAGGAACCGUACCCCAAACCGACACAGGUGGUCGGGUAGAGAAUACCAAGGCGCUUGAGAGAACUCGGGUGAAGGAACUAGGCAAAAUGGCACCGUAACUUCGGGAGAAGGUGCGCCGGCUAGGGUGAAGGAUUUACUCCGUAAGCUCUGGCUGGUCGAAGAUACCAGGCCGCUGCGACUGUUUAUUAAAAACACAGCACUCUGCAAACACGAAAGUGGACGUAUAGGGUGUGACGCCUCCCCGGUGCCGGAAGGUUAAUUGAUGGGGUUAGCGCAAGCGAAGCUCUUGAUCGAGGCCCCGGUAAACGGCGGCCGUAACUAUAACGGUCCUAAGGUAGCGAAAUUCCUUGUCGGGUAAGUUCCGACCUGCACGAAUGGCGUAACGAUGGCGGCGCUGUCUCCACCCGAGACUCAGUGAAAUUGAAAUCGCUGUGAAGAUGCAGUGUAUCCGCGGCUAGACGGAAAGACCCCGUGAACCUUUACUGUAGCUUUGCACUGGACUUUGAGCCUGCUUGUGUAGGAUAGGUGGGAGGCUUUGAAGCGUGGACGCCAGUUCGCGUGGAGCCAUCCUUGAAAUACCACCCUGGCAUGCUUGAGGUUCUAACUCUGGUCCGUAAUCCGGAUCGAGGACAGUGUAUGGUGGGCAGUUUGACUGGGGCGGUCUCCUCCUAAAGAGUAACGGAGGAGUACGAAGGUGCGCUCAGACCGGUCGGAAAUCGGUCGCAGAGUAUAAAGGCAAAAGCGCGCUUGACUGCGAGACAGACACGUCGAGCAGGUACGAAAGUAGGUCUUAGUGAUCCGGUGGUUCUGUAUGGAAGGGCCAUCGCUCAACGGAUAAAAGGUACUCCGGGGAUAACAGGCUGAUACCGCCCAAGAGUUCAUAUCGACGGCGGUGUUUGGCACCUCGAUGUCGGCUCAUCACAUCCUGGGGCUGAAGCCGGUCCCAAGGGUAUGGCAGUUCGCCAUUUAAAGUGGUACGCGAGCUGGGUUUAGAACGUCGUGAGACAGUUCGGUCCCUAUCUGCCGUGGACGUUUGAGAUUUGAGAGGGGCUGCUCCUAGUACGAGAGGACCGGAGUGGACGAACCUCUGGUGUUCCGGUUGUCACGCCAGUGGCAUUGCCGGGUAGCUAUGUUCGGAAAAGAUAACCGCUGAAAGCAUCUAAGCGGGAAACUUGCCUCAAGAUGAGAUCUCACUGGGAACUUGAUUCCCCUGAAGGGCCGUCGAAGACUACGACGUUGAUAGGCUGGGUGUGUAAGCGUUGUGAGGCGUUGAGCUAACCAGUACUAAUUGCCCGUGAGGCUUGACC